AAGUAAAAUAAGCUAAAUUAAGCUUUUGGGCCCAUACCCCAAACAUGUUGGUGAAAGCCCUUCUUUUGCUA
rnacentral:tRNA from 3 species